rnacentral:rRNA from 1 species
GCAUAUCAAUAAGCGGAGGAAAGAAAUAACAAUGAUUUCCCUAGUAACGGCGAGUGAAGAGGAAAGAGCUCAAAGUUGGAAACUGUUUGGCUUAGCUAAACCGUAUUGUAAACUGUAGAAACAUUUUCCUGGCACGCCGGAUUAAUAAGUCCUUUGGAACAAGGCAUCAUGGAGGGUGAGAAUCCCGUCUUUGAUCCGAGUAGUUGUCUUUUGUGAUAUGUUUUCAAAGAGUCAGGUUGUUUGGGAAUGCAGCCUAAAUUGGGUGGUAAAUCUCACCUAAAGCUAAAUAUUUGCGAGAGACCGAUAGCGAACAAGUACCGUGAGGGAAAGAUGAAAAGAACUUUGAAAAGAGAGUUAAACAGUAUGUGAAAUUGUUAAAAGGGAACCGUUUGGAGCCAGACUGGUUUGACUGUAAUCAACCUAGAAUUCGUUCUGGGUGCACUUGCAGUCUAUACCUGCCAACAACAGUUUGAUUUGGAGGAAAAAAUUAGUAGGAAUGUAGCCUCUCGAGGUGUUAUAGCCUACUAUCAUACUCUGGAUUGGACUGAGGAACGCAGCGAAUGCCUUUAGGCGAGAUUGCUGGGUGCUUUCGCUAAUAAAUGUUAGAAUUUCUGCUUCGGGUGGUGCUAAUGUUUAAAGGAGGAACACAUCUAGUAUAUUUUUUAUUCGCUUAGGUUGUUGGCUUAAUGACUCUAAAUGACCCGUCUUGAAACACGGACCAAGGAGUCCACCAUAAGUGCAAGUAUUUGAGUGACAAACUCAUAUGCGUAAGGAAACUGAUUGAUACGAAAUCUUUUGAUGGCAGUAUCACCCGGCGUUGACGUUUUAUACUGAACUGACCGAGGUAAAGCACUUAUGAUGGGACCCGAAAGAUGGUGAACUAUGCCUGAAUAGGGUGAAGCCAGAGGAAAACUCUGGUGGAGGCUCGUAGCGAUUCUGACGUGCAAAUCGAUCGUCAAAUUUGGGUAUAGGGGCGAAAGACUAAUCGAACCAUCUAGUAGCUGGUUCUGC